rnacentral:lncRNA from 1 species
UUCGGACGCGGCAACUCAACAGCUUCAAAUAAAGUAGGAUAUGAACACAACAUUGCUAAUAAAAUAUAAUAUUAUUAAUGUAAAUAUUAUAUAUUUACUAGUUGAGUGUAUAUACAAAUGCACGUACCAAUUAUUUAGUUGUUCUUUCGGUAUCAUAUUUAUCCAAAUAUUUAUAAUAAAAAUUUAAAUUUUAAAAAAGUAGAUUCAUCUUUAUCUUAUUAGAAAAUAUCUAUUAUAUUCUAACUGAAAUUUGAAUGAUUGCUAUCAACUAUAAUUAUACACUAGUGUAGCGACCCGCACGAUGCAGCGGAUAGAUAAUAGAAGCAAAUUUUUAAAAUUUUAAUAAAAUUUAUAUUUACAGUUUAUAGGAAGCUAUACCAUGUUAAGCACAGUUAAUUUGCAUGACUAAAUUUAAUUGUUAAAAAAAUAAAAUUAUAGCUAGAAGCAUAUGAAAUACAUAAAUAAUAACUUAACGUAUCUGGCUUAAGAAAAUUUUAGGUGGGGUCUCAGGCUCCAGUCUCCACAUCAUACUUUUUAAUCUACGAAAGGAAUUUUGCCCACAACAGUGUCUACUCAAAAAAAUGGUCAUAAGAUGAAAAUAAAACAAAAAACAUCAAUCUUGAAAAAACUAAUACUUUUUUGGAGCACUUCUUUUACUCAUCCAAAUCUCAUACAUCUUCUUAAUUUUCAGCUGGUAGUUGCUUCCCACGCCGAGUCACUUCUGGAUUUUCAUUGUAACCUAUGAACAAACACCUCAUCUGCAUCACCAAACUGCUAUAUCUAAACUGACUCAGCCUUGCCAUCACAUCAACCACAGAAAUUCUAAUUCUUAAACAAUUUGAUUUAUCAAAAAGUUCCUGCGAUUCUUGAGAAGGAGCUCCCGCGCAACGUCCCCGCAAAGAGGAGGCUAGGACGCCGCUCCCCUCGGCCCAGUUGUGGGCGCGCGUGAGCCGCGCGAGGAGGCAGCCGAGGCGGUGGCGGUUCACGGCGAGUGAGGGCUCCGGCGCAGACCGGCUCUGCGAGCACUUAUAUGAGCCGCGACUGGACUUUACAGGACGAUACUUUUUGAAGGAGACAACGUUCUUCGCAUGCUCUUCUUCUUCAUCAUCCUCAUAAUCUUUGUUAACACAAUGAGAUAGAGAGAAGGAGAUGAGUGUGGGGUGAGAGAUUAGAUGAUAAUAUUUUUUUUUUCAUGGAAAAUAACAUGUCAUGCAAAAAAAAAGGAGGUGGGGGGAUUAAUGGCGGAGAGGAGUGGAUUGGAGUUACAAAGCUCACUAAUUGGUGGAAUAUGAUGUAUUUAAUUAAAUGUGGAGAGGUGAAGGGUUGAGCAUUUAGAAUGGAGAAGAAACUAAUUGGUGAAAUAUGAUGCAUUUAAUUAAAUGUGGAGAGAUGAAGGGUUAAGCAUUUAGAAUGGAGAAGAAACGAAGGAAAGAAAAUACAUUGCCUCAUGAAUUGGAACCCCAAAUUAGAAAAGGAUAUAUAUCAGCAAAGUAUGGCGCAAAUCGUUUCCGAUCCCAUACCUGCGAACCAAAAUAAUAAUAAUAAAAAGACUUAAAUUCAACUAAAAGAGAAUUAGGGAUUAAGAAAUAGAGCAACUGAAACAGAGGAUUGAACACAAAUUCAAGAAACAAAGCAUAAAUUGAUACAAAAAUUAAUGAAGAGAUCACACAUGAUAGGAUUUUUAGGGCAAAGACUGACACGUGAGGAGGAUUGAAAACCUGCAAAUCUUCGACACGGAGGCCGAGAUUGAGGGAGAAGAGUUGGGAGCUAGGGUUAGAGUUCGACUCACCCGACAUUGGCGUCGUUGUCAGUCGUGGUGGAGGAGGCGGAGGCGGAGGCUCAGGCGGACAAAAGGUGCUGGGCCGCUGCCUCUGUCCGCGGCGGAGAGGAGAGGUGAAGGGUUGAGCAUUUAGAAUGGAGAAGAAACGUAAAUUAAAAAAAAAUGAAAGCUUACCACGUCAUCAUUUUACAUUGAAAAUUCAUAUAAGAGUAUAGAUUUCUACCAUUUUUU